GGACCCGCACAAGUAGUGGAGCAUGUGGUUUAAUUCGAAGAUACGCGCAGAACCUUACCAACACUUGACAUGUUCGUCGCGACUCUAAGAGAUUAGAGUUUUCGGUUCGGCCGGACGAAACACAGGUGCUGCAUGGCUGUCGUCAGCUCGUGUCGUGAGAUGUUGGGUUAAGUCCCGCAACGAGCGCAACCCUCACUUUUAGUUGCCAUCAUUAAGUUGGGCACUCUGAAAGAACUGCCAGUGAUAAGCUGGAGGAAGGUGGGGAUGACGUCAAGUCCUCAUGGCCCUUACGUGUUGGGCUACACACGUGCUACAAUGGUAUCUACAACAGGAAGCAAAACAGCGAUGUUAAGCAAAUCCUUAAAAGAUACCUCAGUUCGGAUUGCACUCUGCAACUCGAGUGCAUGAAGCUGGAAUU
rnacentral:rRNA from 1 species